GUGCCAGCCGCCGCGGUAAUACAGAGGUCUCAAGCGUUGUUCGGAUUCAUUGGGCGUAAAGGGCGCGUAGGCGGCGGGGUAAGUCGGGUGUGAAAUCUCAGAGCUCAACUCUGAAACUGCACUCGAUACUGCUCUGCUUGAGGACUGGAGAGGAGACUGGAAUUCACGGUGUAGCAGUGAAAUGCGUAGAUAUCGUGAGGAAGACCAGUGGCGAAGGCGGGUCUCUGGACAGUUCCUGACGCUGAGGCGCGAAGGCCAGGGGAGCAAACGGGAUUAGAAACCCGCGUAGUCC
rnacentral:rRNA from 1 species